rnacentral:lncRNA from 1 species
AUAUUCUAAACCUUAGAAUGUCCUUAUAUUUCCUCUGUUUAUUUGCUAAUUCUCAGUUAAUGAACAUGCACUGAUUGAAUAAUUAUGUAACAUUUUUGUCUAAUUUAUGAAUUGUUUGUAUUUAAUUCAAUGUCUGCAAUAGAUGAGGGACCUUAUCUACUUACUGUUGCAAUUGCUUAGGACAGUUUCUGAAUACAAUAAGUGCCCAGUAAAUAAACAUGAGGAGGUUAUGACUAAAGUAAUGAGUAUAUAAGGUGUGUGGACUCUGAGAGGGAGUCCCCAGGGCCCUACUAUGUAAUAAAAGAAAGUUACGUUCUCUUAGAUCUUCUUUGGUGUAAGACUGAAUAAUGGUUUUCCUUUUUUUUUUUUAAAGAAGGAUACAAAUCUGUUUUUAUUUGAAAAUGUGACAAGCCAUUUUCAAGAUAGAGGUACUAGGAAGAAUAUUCAGACAAUUAUGGUUAUUUUAACUUUACGGUGGAUUUGUGAAAGCUUUAAAGUACAUACAUGUACUUAUCUUAAAGGCCAAUGUAAGAGCAUGUAAAGGCAAGACCAUUAACCCAGACUUUUUACCUAACCCAGGAAGGAAUAGGAACAGCUCAUUCGGGAAUAGGAAAAGGCUCAUUUAUUUAUGUGUUGAAAUAAGUUUAGGGGUUCCCAUAAAGGGUUGUUGGAAAACUGAAAGGUUCUGCAAGAGAAACACAGUCUUACAUUUGAGAUGCCUCUGAUGCUGAGGACAUCUUGAAGUAAUAUGCAGCUCUUGAUGACACCUCUUCAACACUUAGUAAAUCCGACCUUUCCUUUCAUCUGUCAUUAUGCUGAAUCACAUGGCCCAGCAAGCAGCAAACACAUUGCAACCAAAUUUCACAAUUGCAGCCUGGGAACAUGUGCUCCUUCAAAUUGAUUAGUGAUAUUACCAGUGUUUAAACCCAUUUCCUGUCACCUAGCAGAAUGGGGGUGAGUUGACAGGAAGUCAUUCUGCUGUCAUCCAGCAGGGUUGCCAAUGCAAUUCUUUAAACUUGUCAGUGACUGGAGAGUCAGCGGGCUUCACUCUGGUCUAAAGCUUUUGCACAUGUCGAGUAGUGCAGUAUGGAGACUACCCUGGAAGCACCUAGCUUUGAUACUAACAGAGUGUGCAUUUCCUUGAGAGUUCUAAGUUCCCAAGGGGUUUUAGCAAAUGCCAACAUGGAAAUAGUUUUACUUUUUUUUUUCCUGACCUUUCUCUCUUUAAAAAAACCUGACCUAUGUUACACCUACAGGGCCAUUUUGCAUUAGGUGUAUCUUCAAGUGUAUUUUGAAAAAUCACCACUUUGGGGAACGGGCAACAAAAGAAGUCCCCAGAGAGAGCACAUUUCCUCUAGUAAAUUCAAACGACUCAUUCUUUGUAUUGAAGAUAUUAUUUGUCAUACAUUUCCCUUGUCAUAUUGAGCAUUCCCAGACCAUCAUUUAAAACAGAUUGGUAAUUUGGCCCUUAAUUUUGGCACCUGUACAUCUUUUAAAGCUGUGGGCUGUGUUUGGAGACUUUACUACUCUGUAAGUUAAUACCCUUUCAGGGCCUAAACGCCACCAUUAACUGUAAAUUGGCCUCUCAGGAUGCUGGAUAGAACCAUUUUUUAUAUUUAUUUGUUUAAUCUUUAUUAGCCAAGGGUUGUCCAAGAGCUCUAAGGGGAUUAUUUGCCCAUGAGACUUGGAGGCAUGUUUAAAUCUUUCCUUGUAGCUUAAGGGAGAGUUUGCUCUCUGUAAGUACUUAGGCUGCUUAUGACUCUAACCGCUUUCUCUAGGCAGCCUUGAAAACCAAGCCAUAAGCUACUCCCAUCCGCUGGCAUGAAGGCCUAUUGAAUUCUAGAUUUUCAUAGCUAGAGAGCAUCACAGAGAUCAUCUGGUCAAAAACAUUUAUUUUACAAUUGGGGAAACUAAAGUCCAAAGACAGGAAGUGAUCAAACUGCUAGAGUUUUAAGUUAUUUCUCUUCCCAGGUGGUAUGAGCUUUUUAGUAGAAUUUUAAAGCAUAAAACUUUCAAACCAGGGGAAAGGUUACUAUUGAUGAGGUUUCGUGGAUCAGUAAGUGAUUGGAGCAAUUCCUACAAUGGGAGAUUCUCAAUAAAGCGCUUUGCCUUCUACUUUUCAAUUGCUAUUAAAUCUUUGUCUGCUUAUAUGAUUAGUCUUUAAAUUCAAAUAUGCUUUGUUACACAGAAUGUCAGGUGUAUGUGCUUCAAGACACAUGUAAAUAUAGUGUCUGGCGAGGAGUGGGGUCUUAAAAUGCUUCUCAUACACAUACACUGAAGUCCCUGUAAAGCUUGGAGGUACGCUCUGAACAUCGGUACUGUGUCUAAGAAGGAUGAAGACUUCUAAGCAGGCUGUUUUCAUAUUUAUUUUCUUUCCAAAGUAGGCUUUCUUUACCUUUCAUAAUGCUUUCUGCUAAAAUAUUGUCAGAGAGGUAUUCAGUGAACUUAUUUUGUUUCUUCCUUAGUCUUUGGCUUUCCCAAACAAUGGUUGCCUUAUGUUUUUGUCUGUUACUCUAGAAAAGAGUCAUUCCUUCUCCCCUUCAUGUAAAUGCCUUUCCUAAAGGCUUCCUGGAGUUUUGAAUUACUUCAUUUACAACAGUUGCAGUUCCACAGAGUGGAGUCUAAGGGUAUAUAGUAAUGAAAUUUUUGUAAUUUCAUUUUCAGUUCAAAACAAAUAAAUAAAUGGGCAAUAAUCUAAUUUAGCGUUUCUCUGAUCACAAAGUUUCAGUGGCCAUGACUACCCUGUAUUCUUGCCUCAGUGCUAUUAACUGUUGCAGUGCCUUUCACCACUGUGGAGAACAUGGCAGCAUCCGCAGCAUCUAGGACUUUAUCCUAUCUGUGGGAUCCAGUGCUCCCAAGAAUCUGAGAUCUGAUAACUUUUAGGAGAGUCCUAGAUAAACUAAAAUUUGAGCUGCAUUGCUAUUAACUUUUAAAACUGACAUAAUCUUUCACUAAAACGCCCAACGCUCUCUUAUUCUCUCUGAUGAUUUUGACUUUGUCUAAAUUCACACACUUGAUAUUUGAUCAAAUUUUCUUAACUUUUCUACUAAUUUUCAUUCCAACUGUUCUCUGGGCUAUGAAUGGAAUGCUCUUACAAACUGUCCUCAUAAGACUCAGUUCAAAUCAAAUAUAGCUUCAUCUAUAUCCUCCUGUAUAUCACCACCUGUAUGUGCUUCACCUUUUUCUAUAACUCAUAAGAUUUGCAUUUCCCUGUAUAUUAAAUUUAUCUUUAAAUUAGGGUUGUUGCUCUUCUCCAAACCUCCCGCCUUUCCUGAGUGUGCAUUAUUAGUAGUAUUUGUGGAGCAAAUUCAAACCCAGGACUCUCUAUAUCUUAGCAAGCUCUCUACCACCGAGCCACAUCUCCAACCUCUAACUAUACAAUUAUUAAGGAGACAAUUUUCUGUUAAUUUUUCAUAAUCAUGAAGUCAGCAAACUAGACAUGUUUCUUGAGUAACUGAAAGAAUCUUUAGUUGACAGAAAACAACAUGAUCAGAUUUUAGUGAUCUUGGCUUUGAUACAGCUCUGUCACUCCUCAUGCAUUGUCAACCUUGAGUGUUUGUGUAAAUCUAUGUAUUGCUGUGUACAUGUAUGUGCAGAUAUGUGUACAUAUGUGUGUCCAUGUGUAUGUGGGUCAGAGGCCAACCUCAGGUGUCUUUCCUCAGAGCCAUCAACCUUAUUUUCUGGUACAGAGUUUCUCUAGGUGCGGAAGCUCACUGGUUAGGCUACGCUGGCUAGUUAACAGGCCUUAAGGAUUGACUAGGCUCUGCCUCCUCAGUACCGGGUUUACAGGCACCAUUUAGGCCUGGCUUUGUUGCCUAAGUGCUAGGGAUUAAAUGCAAAUCGUUAUCGUUAUGCUUUCGAAGGAGUGCUUCACUGACAGAGUUAUUGUUCCAGGUCUGCCUUGUUUGUUGAGGCAGCCUCUCUUACUAAUCUUGAACUUACUAUGUAGACUAGGCUGGCUAGCCAUCUAGCUCAUUCGAUUCACCUGUUCUACCCUCCCUAGCAUCCAGAUUACAGACAAAUACCACCAUGCCUAGCUCUUUACUUGGGCUCUGGGGAUCAGAUUUAAGGCUGAAUGCUUGUACAACUUCAUUGACCAAACUAUAUUCCUGGCUCUACGUUGUUCUGUGAGACCACUUCUUUGGUUGGUCUGUAAUUUGCCAUCCUAGGUAGCCUGGCAGGCCAGUGAGUCCCAAGGGUCCCCACUCCUCUUCAUUUCCCCAUGCUGGGAUCAGAAGCCUGUGCUACCAUUCUCAGACUUCUAUAAAAUGUGGUCCUGGGAACAAGCUCAGGUUCGUAAGCUUCCAUGGACAGCACUUUACCAACUAAACUAUCAUCCCAGCCCCUAAGCUCCCCAUCUUCUAGGAAUUUGGUGUUUUCAUUAAUGAACUAAAAGAAUUAAAUUAACUGAAAGUUCCUAAACAGUGGUUCAUAAAUGAUACCAUUCCAUGAGGAAAUUUUCAGCAGCUUAGGGUGGAAUAAAAAAUAAAUAAAAAUGAAGCUAAAUGAACUUAAUUUAUUUAUUUUUGUUUCAACUUUAUGUCCUAAAAUUUUUGUUUUUAUUAAAUGUCAAUAGUAUUAUGAUAAUUGUCAUUUUAAGAGUCUUUGCCUUGCAAAAGUAAAUGGCUGGAGAAAAUGUACAAUAUUUGGUAUUUUUUUUGAAGUAUUUAUUUUAAAAUAUUACCAGUCCAUGGAGUCUUUUUGUAUCUGAAUUGCUGUCUUUGAUGUGUUCUCGUUUUCCUUCCAGGAUGAGUAUCUUAUAGUUUAUUAAUUUUCAGUCAAACCUGAAGAUGACUUUCUAUAUUAGGAUUCUACAAGUAACUAUUUUUCUUUACUUCUUGGUCCACUGUUAAGUUAGUACUUAGGACAGUGGUAGCCAUGUGGCUGCCAGUAACUGAGUGCUGGGGGAGAAUCAGAACUGGGCCUGGUGUGCAGUUUGCUUUUAUGAGCCUUCCCACAGCUCUAAAAGCUUUGCCCUGAAAAAACUACAUAAUUGAAGCAAAAUGGAGGGUUUUUUUUUUUCUUUUAGUUCUUCACAAUUCUUGCCCUUGAUGGGACAGUAGAAAGAACUUUCAGGUAUUAGUUAAGAAAAAAUGUUAGUUAGUAGGAUGUGGCAGUUCUUCUAAGAUGUGCAUGUUUUCAAAUCGAGGAAACUUACUGACCAGUCCUGGAGGUUGCUUCCUCUGCUUCACCCCCCCCCCCCCGCCCCCCAACCCCGUGUGCGUUUCCAGGCUUUGACCACAGACUCUGGCUGACUGACUAUUUGAACAGACUGAGGCUUUCACGAGGCUUUCUGAGUUUAAUUUUACAGUAGCGUAUCUUUCGAUUAUUAACACAUUAAAGUCAAUAUAAUUCUGGCUUAGAAAUCUGAUGCUAAUUGGUUUGGGAAUAUUUUAUUUAAAAAUCUUUUUCCAAAUGUGACUGUGAAUUCUUCAGUUUCUUGAUUUAGAACUAAUGAAAACAUUAAUUCUGCCAGAAAAAGAUUAUCUGAUGGAGCAGAAACAUUUUAAUUUUGGAGGUUACCUGUCAAUUUUGUAUUCCCAUGUCUUUUGUCUAGAAACAAGCCUACAGCUAAUUGACUUCUGUUCCUUUCCCCUUGACGUCUCAUUUUUCUGAACUUAGAAGACUCAAAUUAAAAGAAAGAUAAAAUUCCAAGGGAAGCUGGCAUUGAUCAAGGUUUGGCUUAAAUUGAAUUAAGUGCUUUUUAUUGAACUCAGCAGUAUUAGUUAUUAAAACCAGAAGUUUUUACCCUUGCUAGUGU